rnacentral:rRNA from 1 species
AUUGAACGCUGGCGGCAGGCUUAACACGUGCAAGUCGAGCGGGGUGAUGGUGCUUGCACUAUCACUUAGCGGCGGACGGGUGAGUAAUGCUUAGGAAUCUGCCUAUUAGUGGGGGACAACAUCUCGAAAGGGAUGCUAAUACCGCAUACGUCCUACGGGAGAAAGCAGGGGAUCACUUGUGACCUUGCGCUAAUAGAUGAGCCUAAGUCGGAUUAGCUAGUUGGUGGGGUAAAGGCCUACCAAGGCGACGAUCUGUAGCGGGUCUGAGAGGAUGAUCCGCCACACUGGGACUGAGACACGUCCCCGACUCCUACGGGAGGCAGCAGUGGGGAAUAUUGGACAAUGGGGGGAACCCUGAUCCAGCCAUGCCGCGUGUGUGAAGAAGGCCUUAUGGUUGUAAAGCACUUUAAGCGAGGAGGAGGCUCUUUUGGUUAAUACCCAAGAUGAGUGGACGUUACUCGCAGAAUAAGCACCGGCUAACUCUGUGCCAGCCGCCGCGGUAA